UACGAAGGGGGCUAGCGUUGUUCGGAAUCACUGGGCGUAAAGCGCACGUAGGCGGCUUUCUAAGUCAGGGGUGAAAUCCUGGAGCUCAACUCCAGAACUGCCUUUGAUACUGGAGAGCUUGAGUCCGGAAGAGGUGAGUGGAACUCCGAGUGUAGAGGUGAAAUUCGUAGAUAUUCGGAAGAACACCGGUGGCGAAGGCGGCUCACUGGUCCGGUACUGACGCUGAGGUGCGAAAGCGUGGGGAGCAAACAGG
rnacentral:rRNA from 1 species